UCCGGGAGCUGACUGACGGAGGAUCAUUGUCGAUGCCUUACAUGGAGAGAUCAACCUGUGAACCUGUUUGAAUACGUAGGGAUGGCUCGUGGAGUUUUCAACUCCUUGACCUCCCUUGAGCUGGUAGGGGGUGCCACGUUGUGCGCUCCCCUCCCAGCCAAAAAACCCAAACCCCGGCACUGAAUGUGCCAAGGAACUAAAAUUGGUUCAGUGCGCCCCCGUAGGCACCGUAGACGGUGCUAAUAGCGGGAGGUGUUUUGACGCAUGAUAUAUAAACGACUCUCGGCAACGGAUAUCUAGGCUCUUGCAUCGAUGAAGAACGUAGCGAAAUGCGAUACUUGGUGUGAAUUGCAGAAUCCCGUGAACCAUCGAGUUUUUGAACGCAAGUUGCGCCCGAAGCCAUUAGGUUGAGGGCACGUCUGCCUGGGCGUCACAUAUCGUUGCCCUAUGCCCAAUGCCUAUAGGUAGGCACUGUGCAGGGCGAAUGUUGGCUUCCCGUGAGCAUUGUCGUCUCAUGGUUGGCUGAAAACUGAGUCCUUGGUAGGGUGUGUGCCAUGAUAGAUGGUGGUUGUGUGAUCCACGCGAGACCGAUCAUGUGCGGCGCUACCAGAUUAGGCCUCUUUGACCCCACUUGAGUCCUUGAACGCUCAUGACGAGACCU
rnacentral:rRNA from 1 species